rnacentral:lncRNA from 1 species
GUGACAACGGCAAGCUGGCUGCAACGAAGCCGCCCACGUAGGCCUCCCCGGCCUGCUGGAGGAGAGGGGAUCCCCCGGGGCAGAGGCGGCUACACCCGGAGAACCCGGAAACCGGAAGCGCAGAUCCUGCCGGCUCUGGACUAGCCGCUCAGCACCAGGGCGGAAGGAAGACGAGGCGAGGCAAGCGCCAAGCUUCCAUCCGGACUUCAAGGCCAGUGGCUGGGUCUGGUUUUCUCAACACGGCCUCCUAGUCUCCUUCCCGCUUGGGCAUCUGUUUUUCUUAUAUAGACCCUGAAGCCGCCCGUGAUGUUCUGUAAGCAGGUUCCGCUUCAGAAUCAGAGGUACUUAAGAGGGAACCUGGAUGCUAGACCUGCCCUUGCUGCUGGCCUCAGUUUCUUUACCUGUAAAACAGGGAUUUUGGAACUGUUAAAUUAAAUCAAACUUAAAAGAAUUACAACUUAAAGCUGCUGGAACUUUACAUGAUCCCGAGCCUUGAGAGGAAUGUGGCUAUGCAGCCUGAGUCAUGUGGCAUGCAGAUGCAACCUCUGCCUUUUUCCGCUGUAAAUAAUUAAGAAGACCAAGUAGCAUCCAAGUCUCUUGUCCUUCUGCCUGCUGUUGUGGGAUGAUGUGUAGAGGAAGAUAGUCUUCCUCUACACAGCAAGAAGAUCCCUACCAGAUGCAGCCCUCUCAACCUUGGACUUCCUGACAUCCAGAACUAGUCACCUAAGCUGAAGAUUCCCUUGAGAACAAGUACUGUCCUGUGGUUUCAUGGCCUUUCUUCCAUUUGUGGUUCUUGCCAAGCGGAAUUUAAAUGACAUCUUAUCAAGAUGGAUAAACCCUAGUUUCCCAGUGCUGGAAUAUAGAAAAUGGAUGGACAAGUAAAUCCCACUCAGCACCCAUAGCCCAGGCAUGGGGACCUCAACACAUUUGAGCCGCAGAGAUCACCUUUCAUUGUGAAUAGCUCUGAGAUGAUACUUCUGGUUGAAUGUCUUUUUGUCACUUCCGGCUGGAUCUACCAUGAAAGAUUUCUGAAUCCAGGAAGAGAGAUUGACUGGGCAACAUGUUAUUCAGAAACAGGACCUUGCCCUGUCACUCAGGAUGGAGUUCAGUGGUCCAAUCAUGGCUCAUUGUAGCCUCAAACUCCCAGGCUCAAGCAAUCCUACCACGUCAGUCUUCCCAGUAGCUGACAGGGUCUCACUCUGUCGCCCAGGCUGGAGUGCAGUGGCAUGAUCUUGGCUCACUGUAGUGUAGACUUCCCAGCCUCAAGGGAUCCUCCCACCCCAGACUCCCAAGUAGCUGGAAUUACAGGUCUCAUGCUCUCACUCAGGCUGCAGUACAGUGGCACAACCUCUACUCACUGCAGCCUCUACCUGCCAGGCUCAAGCAAUUCUCCUGACUUAGCCUCCCGAGUAGCUGGGAUUACAGGUAAGUGCCACCACACCAAGCUAAAUUUUGUGUUUUUUGUAGAGAUGGGGUUUCGCCAUGUUUCCCAGACUGGUCUCAAACUCCUGAGCUCAAAGCAAUUCACCCGCCUUGGCCUCCCAAAGUGCUGGGAUUACAGGUGUGAGCCACCUUGCUCAUUCUAGUUUAAACUUUUGAGUGGUUUGUGUCUCCUGAUUGGACUCCUACAAAUACAGAAUUGAUGGUAGGAAGGGUACCAGGAGAUAGACCCACACAGAUGGGAUUUGGGAAUAGGUUUGGUUAUCCAAGGAGCAGUGCUGAGCUCCUUGCUAAUGGGAUAUGGGAGGCUGGUGAUUUCCAGGAAGUGACCUCACAAUGACUCAAGCUACCACAUACUGUUCAUUGUGAAAUGCCAGUUGAAGCAUAUGUCCUGUGAGCUUAGGGGUGCUACAAGUUGACCACUGCAGCAGUAAAGAUGAUUCUGAAGAAUGGCAUGGGAUGGAUCCUUUCGAAUGCACUUGAGCAGCGGUCUCCAACCACAGGGCCACAGAGCUGGAGCUGGAUCUACCAUGAAAGACUUCUGAAUCCAGGAAGAGAGACUGACUGGGCAACAUGUUAUUCAGGGUCUCCCUCUGUUGUCCAAGGCUGGAGUGUAGUAGUGCUAUCACAGCUGACUGCAGCCUCAACCUUCCAGGCUGAAGCGAUCCUCCCAUCUCAACCUCCCACGUGGCUGAGACUACAGGCGCUUGCCACUAUGCCCAACUAAUAUUUGGAAUUUUCCUAUACGUGGAUUCCAGAGGGGUGACAGCGAAACGUGGGACCAUCCAGUUGCAGGAAAACGAGCUUAACACGCCCACUGAUUCUACAUUAUGCUCCUACCUCCCGGCAGCCUCUCCAGGCCCAGAACUUUCUCCAGUCGGCCUCCACAGACCAAGCUCAUGACUCACAAUGGCCUAUUUAGGCCCAUACCCUACCUCACGGCAGUCUCCGCAGAUGAGGCUACUGCCUCACAACAGCCUCCACAGGCACAGCUCCAUCGUUACAAUGGCCUCUUUAGACCCAGCUCCUGCCUCCCAGCCUUCUCUCUAGGCCCUGAACUUUCUCAAGUCGACGUCACCAGGCCCAGCUCAUGCUUCUUGGCAGCCUCUCCAGGCCCAGCUCUUCCUCCCGGCGGCCUCUGCAGGCCCAGACUGUCAUCAAGUCGGCCUGUCCAGGGCCAGCUCCUGCCUCCCGGCGCCCUCUGCAGGCCCAAGUCGUCCUCAAGUUGGCCUCCCCAGGCCCAGCUCCAGCCUCUCGGCGGCCUCUCCGGGUGCAAAAGUUCCUCGAGUCAGCCUCUCCAGGCCCAGCUCCUCC